AUUGAUGAGCAGGCAGGACAUUUGCAUGAAUUUGAAUUCUCCACUGGCAAUAGGCUUAAGAGCAGAGAGGACAGCUGGCUCUGCAGACAAUUCAGUCCUGAUCCCAUCUUCCACCAUGGCUUGGCUGCCUCUUCUUCUCAUCCUCUCCUCUUCCUUUAUGGGGAGUUUUUCCCAGUUUGUCCUGAAUCAACCAGCCUCUGUGUCUGGAUCUCUUAGAGAGACAGUCCAAAUCUCUUGUAAAAAAAGCAGUGGAACAA